rnacentral:rRNA from 1 species
UUGAACGCUGGCGGCAUGCCUUACACCUGCCAGUCGCACGGCAGCACGGGUGCUUGCACCUGGUGGCGAGUGGCGAACGGGUGAGUAAUACAUCGGAACAUGUCCUGUAGUGGGGGAUAGCCCGGCGAAAGCCGGAUUAAUACCGCAUACGAUCUACGGAUGAAAGCGGGGGACCUUCGGGCCUCGCGCUAUAGGGUUGGCCGAUGGCUGAUUAGCUAGUUGGUGGGGUAAAGGCCUACCAAGGCGACGAUCAGUAGCUGGUCUGAGAGGACGACCAGCCACACUGGGACUGAGACACGGCCCAGACUCCUACGGGAGGCAGCAGUGGGGAAUUUUGGACAAUGGGCGAAAGCCUGAUCCAGCAAUGCCGCGUGUGUGAAGAAGGCCUUCGGGUUGUAAAGCACUUUUGUCCGGAAAGAAAUCCUUGGCCCUAAUACGGUCGGGGGAUGACGGUACCGGAAGAAUAAGCACCGGCUAACUACGUG